CAUGAUAAUUCAUACUGAACUCAUGCUUUCUCUAGGAAUCGUAACUAUUGUUGGACAACUGAAUUAUUAUUGGAAUGAUGAUGACAAAUUUGAGAGAGUAACUCAUUCACAGUUUAUUAAAAAUUAACUUGAUGCCUUUUGUAGUGUUGGCUGCAGUGCUGUUUUCUCUCAUGUCCUACUUCUUUUAAAAUUUUGUCACUGUGUUCUUCUAUAGCAAGAUCAAAAAGUAGUUCUGCAUAAAGGUUGAUAUUCAGGGCAGUACUAUGCAAGGCCUGUUUUCUUGUUCAAGACUGUAUGGGAACUGUUGAGUCACGGCCUGAAUCACUGAUUAAGCACCUAGUGAAAGGAUCUGGUCAGCCUGGGAGCACAGGUGAAGGCCAUUCAGUUGUGUGGCUGGAAGAUGGUGGAGCCUGGCUGCACCUCUCUUAGACCUCAUUUAAGGGCUGACUUCUACUGGGGAAGGAUCUCUCUCUGGAGAUCUGUCCUCGGUGGAGCUUUCCCUGUGAACCUGGAAUCUUCUGAUAUAGGGAUAAUAUGAUGACAACAGAAGAGGGAGUUGCCAAGAAUGCUUUCUGAGCGGGUAAUAAAUCGAUGUACUAAACAUCAGAUGAGGUAAUACUGAAGGCAAAAGGCUCAAUGGACAUUUGCCAUAAGUAGUUGGAAAGUAGUACAGCUGUGCUGUAUUACAGAACUGUCCUCCACAGACAAAGGUCUGCAAUGGAAGUGAGUGAGAUGACAUAUGAGAUGAAUGAAGUGCAAAGUUUCAUGAAAGAGACUAAGGAGGACCACAUCUAUUGCCUGGUGUGAUUAUAAGGUUGGAGAAACUUAAAGGUUUAGCUCCUUUUUUCAAAGGAAAAUGUUCUAUGAAGAGUUUGCCUCCAUUUGCCUCCUCCUGAUAUGCAGAGCUGUUCAGAACCAAGAAGCCUUGGUUAUUUUAAAUAACCUCUGAACUAUGCUUUUCUCACAUAAAAAAAAAAAAUACAUAUGUACUUUGUCUACUUUAUUGUUUUUUUCCUAUGUCUAAGACAAAAUGCAGUUUGGCUAUUAAAAGGCAUUUUGACAUGAUGGCAUUGAAUCGAGUGUACAAAGCACUUGAUGACUAAUUUUCUUUCAUUUCAAAGUGUACUAAGUGAUUUAGAAAAUGCUGAUAAGUACCUCUCUUACCUCUCUAUAAGUAUCUUUAAAUAUCUGACCUACAUGAUUCUAUAAAAGCAGACAACACAGAAUCACAGA